CGUAUUCACUACUGUAAGUUGCUCUGGAUAAGAGCGUCUGCUAAAUGUAAAAUU
rfam:Salmo salar isolate Sally breed double haploid chromosome ssa19, whole genome shotgun sequence.